rnacentral:rRNA from 1 species
UACGUAGGGUGCAAGCGUUGUCCGGAAUUAUUGGGCGUAAAGAGCUCGUAGGCGGUCUGUCGCGUCUGCUGUGAAAACUCGGGGCUUAACCCCGGGCCUGCAGUGGGUACGGGCAGACUAGAGUGCGGUAGGGGAGACUGGAAUUCCUGGUGUAGCAGUGAAAUGCGUAGAUAUCAGGAGGAACACCGAUGGCGAAGGCAGGUCUCUGGGCUGACACUGACGCUCAUGCACGAAAGCGUGGGGAGCGAACAGG